AAAAAAUAAAUCAGAUUUGUUCAGGAAAAUACCAACGUAGCUUUUAGAAGUUCCCGAAGCCGGCGAGGCGUAUUAGCACUUAGGCUAAGGGUUUGCUUGUUUCAUUCUUUCGGCAUGGUCACAGAAUGCGGCCCAUAUGUUAGCGGUAACAUCUAAGUGGGUGGUAGAAAUUCCCAUAGUUUUCCCCUUUUUCCCAAAAAAGAAAUCAGAUUUGUUCAGGAAAAUACCAACGUAGCUUUUAGAAGUUCCCGAAGCCGGCGAGGCGUAUUAGCACUUAGGCUAAGAGUUUGCUUGUUUCAUUCUUUCGGCAUGGUCACAGAAUGUGGCCCACGUGUUAGCGGUAACAUCUAAGUGGGUGGUAGAAAUUCCCAUAGUUAUCCCCUUUUUCCCAAAAAAGAAAUCAGAUUUGUUCAGGAAAAUACCAACGUAGCUUUUAGAAGUUCCCGAAGCCGGCGAGGCGUACUAGCACUUAGGCUAAGAGUUUGCUUGUUUCAUUCUUUCGGCAUUGUCACAGAAUGCGGCCCACGUGUUAGCGGUAACAUCUAAGUGGGUGUUAGAAAUUCCCAUAGUUAUCCCCUUUUUCCAAAAAAAGAAAAAUCAGAUUUGUUCAGGAAAAUACCAACGUAGCUUUUAGAAGUUCCCGAAGCCGGCGAGGCGUAUUAGCACUUAGGCUAAGAGUUUGCUUGUUUCAUUCUUUCGGCAUUGUCACAGAAUGCGGCCCACGUGUUAGCGGUAACAUCUAAGUGGGUGUUAGAAAUUCCCAUAGUUAUCCCCUUUUUUCAAAAAAAGAAAUCAGAUUUGUUCAGGAAAAUACCAACGUAGCUUUUAGAAGUUCCCGAAGCCGUCGAGGCGUAUUAGCACUUAGGCUAAGAGCAGACCUGUUCCUCCGAACACUCGAUUACAGCAAAUUUGGAAUUAGCUGUGGCUCAUUGGCAGGAAUAUUCAUUAGCAACUUUUAUACCUGUUGACUCAAAGCGCGAUGGAUAACUCAGGGCAACGUCUUUGUCCGGCAUUUUGGAACAUAUUGAACGGCUUAUUCUCACCACCACUCCAUCUGCGCGGUGCAAGGUUGGAUCGUCGACACACUAGCGUGUGCUUUAUUAGAGCAUAGCGCUGAGCAUUUUGUUCCCUCUUAUUGGAUUACUUAAGCGCCAUCUUCCCAGAGCUGCUCCCCCAGGGGUCCUAUUUGGGCUGCAGAAGCUCUUUAAUCUGAUUCCCGACUGGACAACAUGUGUAACCAAACAGCGCUGGCUUAUAUCUGUACCUCGAGGCGUUAUUUAGUCACUGCUUCUGCUUCUUUGCUUGGCAGCAGCGUGACAGCCGUGUUGAAUUUGUGCUGCGGCUGAAAACCCGCAACUUGGCUGAGCUAAAAUCAACUUGGGCUGGGAAAGCAAACAAAUCAAUCGAAAAUACUGAGAACAAUUAGUGAGAGAAGUUUGAUCCGAAUUUCAUUUUUACUUUAACUUUAUUUUUUUAUUUUAAUUUUGUCCUUUAAAAAAAACAUUUAUUUAAUUUUUGAAAGUAUUUGUUUGAAUUCUAGAGUAGGUUUGUUGCUUUUUUUUUCUUUUUAGGAAAAUGCUUAAUUUGAGUUGAGGUAUUAAUUUUUGUAGUCAUUUUAGUCGAUAUGUAGUAUUUGUCAGGUUGAGUGCAAGAUAAUAUUUUCAAAAACGUGACUAAUUAUGGUGUCAUAAAGUAAACAAAAAUUCUCAAAUGACGGUUUGACGUUCAUUCUUCCAUAUGGAUGUUGCGUAAUACCACAAUACAUGGAUUUAUAAUGAGCCUUGAAAGCUCGUGUAUGAUA